AGGGUUUGAUCAUGGCUCAGAACGAACGCUGGCGGCAGGCCUAACACAUGCAAGUCGAGCGCACCUUUCGGGGUGAGCGGCGGACGGGUUAGUAACGCGUGGGAAUAUACCCUUUGGUACGGAAUAGCCUCUGGAAACGGAGAGUAAUACCGUAUGAGCCCUUCGGGGGAAAGAUUUAUCGCCAAAGGAUUAGCCCGCGUUAGAUUAGGUAGUUGGUGGGGUAAUGGCCUACCAAGCCUACGAUCUAUAGCUGGUUUUAGAGGAUGAUCAGCAACACUGGGACUGAGACACGGCCCAGACUCCUACGGGAGGCAGCAGUGGGGAAUCUUGGACAAUGGGCGCAAGCCUGAUCCAGCCAUGCCGCGUGAGUGAUGAAGGCCUUAGGGUCGUAAAGCUCUUUCGCCUGUGAAGAUAAUGACGGUAGCAGGUAAAGAAACCCCGGCUAACUCCGUGCCAGCAGCCGCGGUAAUACGGAGGGGGUUAGCGUUGUUCGGAAUUACUGGGCGUAAAGCGCACGUAGGCGGACUGGAAAGUUGGGGGUGAAAUCCCAGGGCUCAACCCUGGAACUGCCUCCAAAACUAUCAGUCUAGAGUUCGAGAGAGGUGAGUGGAAUUCCGAGUGUAGAGGUGAAAUUCGUAGAUAUUCGGAGGAACACCAGUGGCGAAGGCGGCUCACUGGCUCGAUACUGACGCUGAGGUGCGAAAGUGUGGGGAGCAA
rnacentral:rRNA from 1 species